rnacentral:rRNA from 1 species
GACGAACGCUGGCGGCGUGCUUAGCACAUGCAAGUCGAACGGAAAGGCCCCUUCGGGGGUACUCGAGUGGCGAACGGGUGAGUAACACGUGAGUAACCUGCCCUUGACUUCGGGAUAACUUCAGGAAACUGGGGCUAAUACCGGAUAGGAAUCCUUGCUGCAUGGUGGGGGUUGGAAAGCUUCGGCGGUUUUGGAUGGACUCGCGGCUUAUCAGCUUGUUGGUGGGGUAGUGGCUUACCAAGGCUUUGACGGGUAGCCGGCCUGAGAGGGCGACCGGCCACAUUGGGACUGAGAUACGGCCCAGACUCCUACGGGAGGCAGCAGUGGGGAAUAUUGCACAAUGGGCGGAAGCCUGAUGCAGCAACGCCGCGUGCGGGAUGACGGCCUUCGGGUUGUAAACCGCUUUCAGCAGGGGCGAAGCUUGUGGUGACGGUACCUGCAGAAGAAGCACCGGCUAACUACGUG